AUGUUAGACACUGCUGGUUUAUCUAAGGCAUGGUGGGGGGAGGCUCUAUUGACUUCAUGUCAUGUCCUGAAUAGAGUUCCCAACAAUAAUAAGGAGAAAACCCCUUAUGAGGAGUGGGUUGGGAGAAGACCAUCACUUUCUUAUUUGCGCACUUGGGGAUGUUUGGCAAAGGUCAAUAUUCCUAUUCCUAAGAAACGCAAACUUGGACCAAAGACAGUGGAUUGUGUCUUUCUAGGGUAUGCUCAACGGAGCAUUGCUUAUAGGUUUUUAGUGGUAAAAUCUGAAGUACCUGAUAUGCAUGUUGAUACUAUAAUGGAAUCUCGUGAUGCAACAUUUUUUGAGAACAUAUUUCCUAUGAAAGAUAUGCAUAGCAUUGCUAGAUUUUCUUCUGAGAUAAUUCCUGAAUCUAGUACAACUGAUGAAUAUUUCGAACAUUCACAUGAGGAAGUCCUUGAGAAGGAUAACAAUGAAGUUCCUAUAAGGAACAAGUGA
rnacentral:rRNA from 1 species